GAUGAACGCUGGCGGCGUGCCUAAUACAUGCAAGUCGAGCGAACAGACGAGGAGCUUGCUCCUCUGGCGUUAGCGGCGGACGGGUGAGUAACACGUGGAUAACCUACCUAUAAGACUGGGAUAACUUCGGGAAACCGGAGCUAAUACCGGAUAAUAUAUUGAACCGCAUGGUUCAAUAGUGAAAGACGGUUUUGCUGUCACUUAUAGAUGGAUCCGCGCCGCAUUAGCUAGUUGGUAAGGUAACGGCUUACCAAGGCAACGAUGCGUAGCCGACCUGAGAGGGUGAUCGGCCACACUGGAACUGAGACACGGUCCAGACUCCUACGGGAGGCAGCAGUAGGGAAUCUUCCGCAAAGGGCGAAAGCCUGACGGAGCAACGCCGCGUGAGUGAUGAAGGUCUUCGGAUCGUAAAACUCUGUUAUUAGGGAAGAACAAAUGUGUAAGUAACUAUGCACGUCUUGACGGUACCUAAUCAGAAAGCCACGGCUAACUACGUG
rnacentral:rRNA from 1 species